AAGACUAUAGACCUGCGGAGUACCUGCGGAAGGAUCAUUACAGAGUUGCAAAACUCCCAAACCAUUGUGAACGUUACCUUCUCGUUGCUUCGGCGGGCGGCCCGGGUCCUUCCCGGCGCCCCCCGGCCCCUCGCGGGCGCCCGCCGGAGGUAAACCAAACUCUUGAAUUGUAUGGCCUCUCUGAGUCUUCUGUACUGAAUAAGUCAAAACUUUCAACAACGGAUCUCUAGAUCGGAAGAG
rnacentral:misc_RNA from 1 species